GUGUCAGUCUUGUGUUAAGGGUUAAGUCACCAAACAUAACUUACUAAUAUUUACCUCUUUAGUUUACUAACGCCUAACCUUUGAAGUUCCUACGGAUUUAAACACCUUACUUCCUAAACUUCGUUACGUUUGAACCUCGGUUUAUACCGAUUUUAUACCUAUCUGUAAAUAUUAUUAGGCAACUUUAGAUACAUGACUGGGUCCGGAUUAAGGAUUGUGGGAACCCGGGCUAAGGAGACAUAUUCUAUUAAAAUGGAAUGGCAAAAAA